rnacentral:rRNA from 1 species
GACGUAGGGGGCCAGCGUUGUUCGGAAUUACUGGGUGUAAAGGGUUCGUAGGCGGUGUGGCAAGUCGGGAGUGAAAUUUCUGGGCUCAACUCAGAGACUGCUUCCGAAACUGCUGUGCUGGAGUGUGGGAGAGGCGCGUGGAAUUGCAGGUGUAGCGGUGAAAUGCGUAGAUAUCUGCAGGAACACCCGUGGCGAAAGCGGCGCGCUGGACCACUACUGACGCUGAGGCACGAAGGCCAGGGGAGCAAACGGG